rnacentral:rRNA from 1 species
GAUGAACGCUGGUGGCGUGCCUAACACAUGCAAGUCGAGCGAUUCUCUUCGGCGAAGAGCGGCGGCCGGGUGAGCAACGCGUGGGUAACCUCCCCUGUACACACGGAUAACAUACCGAAAGAUAUGCUAAUACUAGGUCACAUGCUUUUAUCGCAUGGUAGAAGUAUCAAAGCUUUUGCGGUACAGGGUGGACCCGCGUCGGAUUCGCUAGUUGGUGAGGUAAAGGCUGACCAAGGCGACGAGCAGUAGUCGACGUGAGAGGGUGAUCGGUCACAUUGGAACUGAGCCACGGCCCAUACGCCUAGGGGAGGUAGGAGUGGGGAAUAUAGGACAGGGGGCGAAAGGCAGCUGCAGCACCGGCGCGUGAGCGACGAUCGCCUUGUGGUCGUAUAGCUCCGUCCACAAGGAGGAAAAGGACGGUAUGGGUGGAGGAAGCCCCGGCUAACUACGU